AAUAAACCAAUUUUUCACUUUUUACCUAUAAUUUUUAACUUUUCGUUUUAUUUAAAUUUUUUUGUGAUUGAUAUUUUUAUUUUUAUUAGAUGAUAAAUCAUGAAUAGUACUUUACGUGUGACUAAUUUUUUUCUAACUUUUUAAAAUUUUUUUAAAUAAGACGGAUCAAAUAUUGGAAACGGAAAC
rnacentral:pre_miRNA from 1 species